rnacentral:lncRNA from 1 species
UUAGCUAGGUUGACAUGGUACAAAGCCACAUUACCACGCUAAGUGUGGCUUUGAUUUUUAGAAACCGCCUCAUGCUAAGUCUAGGGAAUACAGUGGUUGAAUGGGGUGAGCGCUGACCUUUAGCUAUUCUGGAGGAACAUGUCACUUUCACUUAUUUUCUUUCAUGUUUUCCCACCCAGUGCUAUGGACUCUGAUCGCCCAACCAGAGCAAACCCAGAAGGACAACUCUCCAAGCCUUUCAAUCACUCCCACUAACCCGUAUUGUGGACACACUAUUGUGAGGCCUACUAAGGAUGUACUGCUGAUGACCUUUUGAAGGCCAGUGGACCUGCUCUGCAGACCCAGGCUCCUCUCCCAUGGAGCAUCCCAAGUCUGUCCUUAUGGGAAGAAGCAGGAGCCCUGUCUGGCUGUACCCCAAGCUGCUUUCUCUGGACCAAUGCUGUCAGCGAUAGAGCAAACAAGCCAAACAGCAGCUUGAAAAAUGCUUUCUACUUGGACAUACCCUCUUGCUACAGGGAACCCUUCCACCAUCAUGUGAAGAAGCCUGGUCUAGCCUGCUGGAGGAUGAGAGAUCACAUGGAAUGAGGCCACAAUCGUUCCAGCCAAAGCCCCAGUAAUAGAAUUAAGAUCAUCCAAGACCAUGGCAUCCCGCCUGAGAAGUUCAGAUGAGAAGGGCCACCUGAACAACCAACAGAAUCUUAAAAAGUAAAAAAUGAGUGUUGCCACUAUGCAUCUAUUAGAAUGGCAGAAAUCGAAGACACUGACAACAACAAAUGCUGGUGAGGAUGUGGAGCAACAGGAACUCUCACUCACUGAAGAUGGAAAUGCAAAAUAGUGCAGCUACUUUGGAAAACAGCUACUUUGGCUGUUUCUUACAACACUAAAUAUGCUAUUAUUAUAUGAUCCAGAAGUUUUGCUCCUUAGCACUUACCCAAAAAAGUUGAAAACUUAUGUACACACAAAAACCUGCACAUGGAUAUUCACAGCAGUUUUUGAUAUGGUUUGGCUCUGUGUCCCCACAGAAAUCUCAUCUUGUAUUUGUAUAAAUUUAUGGGGUACAAGAGUAAUUUUGUUAGCAUGCAUAGACAUGCAUAGACUGCAUAGCUCCCAUAAUUCCCACAUGUUGUGGGAGGGACCAGGUGGGAGGUGAUUGAAUCAUAGGGGCAGGUCUUUCCUGUCUUGUUCUUGUGAUAGUGAGUGGGUCUCACAAGAUCUGAUGGUUUUAAAUAACAGGAAUUUAUCUGCACAAGCUCUUUUAUUUUGCCUGCUGCCAUCCACAUAAGAUGUGACUUGCUCCUCCUUGCCUUCUGCCAUGAUUGUGAGGCCUCCCCAGCCAUGUGGAACUGUAAAUCCAAUUAAAUCUCUUUCUUUUGUAAAUUGCCAAAAAAAAAAAAAAA